GAGCGCCCGGACCUUUCGAGACCCCGUAUCCCUAGAAGCCGCGGUCUAGAAAUCGCAGGCCCCGGCCAGCCCCCGCGUCCUGGGCCCGCAAUGCUGGCUGUGGGGGCGCUCGACACCUACUGUCGUUUGAACCCCCCAAGAAAGACGGUUAGGAGUGGGGGCUACUCAAGCCACAAAGCUUGCCGUCUCCAGUUAUCUCGAGCAGCAACACCUGGCAGGUGCUUUCCAUUCCUGACCACAGUGGCCAGUCCGGAGGAGCCUGAAAUAAAUAUUUCUAGUUUCUGAGGUCUGCUGAUGGCCAAAGAGCAGCUGUCCCUGCAGCUUAGUGGAAGAGCACAGUAUUAAUUUUUCAAUUCUUCAACCUAAAACUUCAUUAGCUAUUAUUCAGAACAUUGUUUGUCCCUACUUGUUUAAGGGGCAAGGUUAAGAAUUAAAAAUGAUGGAACAACGAG